UUCUCGCGACAGUAGGUGAUCUUCUUUAUUAGGGACUUCUCUUGUAGAACGAAUUCCAAAGAAUAUUUGAUCUCUCUUGGUCGUUGUUCAAAAAGAUCUUAGCUUUCAUUUAAACGAGAGAAAAAGUUUUGUUAAGCCAUUCCUUGGAUAAACCAAAUUGAGUUUCCGCGAUUUCUUAUUCGUCUGUCUAUUUGUCCGUCUUUCACUCUAUCUCUGUCUCUUUCUCUUUUGUCAGGCAAGUCUACGAUGGUGAGACAUCGUUAACGUGACUCGUGCGAGUCUCGUUUUCAUCACAUCGCUUUUCUUUUCGGAAACGAAGAAAAAGGAGAAAAUAAAGGAAAAUAGAGAGAGAAAGAAAGAGAGAGAGAGAGAGAGAGAGAGAGAGAGAGACUUAGACGAGAAGCUAUUUCAGCUGGAAAGAAGGAUAAAGAGAAAACGUGAAAAAUCUCGCCGCGUGAGAGAACGCGAUGCUCUUGACGUUGACUCAAGAGGAGGAGGAUGCACGAUGAAAGAAAGGGAUAGGAAAAAUAUUAUUGGAAAAAUUCACCCUCAAGGCAGUGACUCGAACGAGCGAGCGAGCGUAAAAGAGCCUCGUAUAGUUCGUUCCAUCGACUGAACGACGAAUAACUCACGUUCUCUCCCACGAGCUCUUUUUUGAAUGCCACCUUCGACUGCUAUUACAGAUACCUACCGGAUGUUGCUAUCACCGAGAAGCAACUUCAGUUAGGAAACUACCAACACUUUGGCACCUAUUUAGAGACGAAAACUUUCGGGGAGCAAGCCAGCAGCUGGUCUCAAAAGGGGGUCUGGUCAGUUCUGCGAGAACGCUUUGGAAAACUUAUCGGCCAGCUGUGACCGCCAUAUUCCCAACUCAAUCCUCAUUCUGCUUGGUUUACCCAAAAGAAAAUGUUUCACUUUAGACCGUUUCUUUCGUCUAUAUGAAAGAAUGAAAAUUCAACGAUAUAUUUCAUUUCAUUUUAUCGUUUAGUUAAUUAAGAAAUAACAUUUUUCUUUUCUAUUUUCUAUUUCUUUCUUUCUUUCUUUCUUUAUUUCUUCUUUCUUUUUUUUUUUUUUCUAAAAUCAAACUUUAUAUCUUGAUAUCUGUGAUAUUAUUUCUCGUCGAAAAAGUAGAUAUAUUGACGACUUUGUCACUCUCGAGAAUCGGUUGAAAUUUAUUGGUUGAAAUUUAAAAAAGGAAAGAGAGAGAGACGAAAUGAACAGAGAGAGAAAGAGAGAGAGAGAGAGAGAGAGAGAGAGAGAGAGAGAGAGAGAGAAAAGAAGUAAAAAGCACGUGAAAGUUAAUAAAGAGGUCGAGAUUUGAAAGUUUAAUAUCACUGAAGAGAUAUUCGGUAGACCAGUGAAAUUAAAAUUUCUAGAGGGGAACAUAAAAAAAGACAAAAUGAUAUUACGAUUUUGUAACUAAAUGAGAUUAUUAUAAUAUAUACUUACAUACGUAUACAGAUAUGUAGAUAUGGAUAUUGGAAUAAGUUUUUGGUUAUAUUACGUAUACGUACGUACAAAUCUUUAUGAAGUUGUUUGAAAAUAAAAGUAGAAUCAUCACUGGUGAUAUCAGUACUAAGAAAGAUAGACGAUAAAAAAUAAAUUAGAUAUGUUUUUUUUUUCUGUUUCUUCUUCUUCUUUUCUCUCUCUCUUUCUCUCUCUCUCUUGCUCUCUCUCUCUCUCUCUCUCUCUCUCUCUCUCUUCUCGUAUCUUCUUUUCGUCACGUAGUCGACCUCAAAGAUACCAAGUCACUGCCGUAUAUAUGGCGCGUUAAACAGAUCCCGAGAAAAUAACUGGAAAGCAGUGCAACCCUUGUUGAGCAGAUGGUACGUGGCAGAUCAUGGAAACACGUUUGUCCUUCUUUAGACGUCGUGGCCGACAUUUCUUAAUGAAAGCACGUUUCCCGAAUAACGUCCGGAAAAUGACUUUCUCCUUCCUGCCAAAAGCACGAUUGUUGGGCUGGAUACCUUCUAAUUAACUCAAUCGUUUACUACGAAUUUUCGAUUAACUUUGCUUUCUAUUUGCCAUAACGUAUACCUAACGUAAAAUCAUAUUAUUAUUGUAAUAAUAAUAAUAAUAAUAAUAAUAAUAAUAAUAAUAAUAAUAAUAAUAAUAAUGAUGAUAAUAAUAAUAAUAAUUAAC